rnacentral:rRNA from 1 species
UACGUAGGUGGCAAGCGUUGUCCGGAAUUAUUGGGCGUAAAGCGCGCGCAGGCGGUCCUUUAAGUCUGAUGUGAAAGCCCACGGCUCAACCGUGGAGGGUCAUUGGAGACUGGGAGACUUGAGUACAGAAGAGAAGAGUGGAAUUCCACGUGUAGCGGUGAAAUGCGUAGAGAUGUGGAGGAACACCAGUGGCGAAGGCGACUCUUUGGUCUGUAACUGACGCUGAGGCGCGAAAGCGUGGGGAGCAAACAGG